AAGUCGUAACAAGGUUUCCGUAGGUGAACCUGCGGAAGGAUCAUUAAAAUUUUAGAGCCCACGGGGGCAUGCUCUCCGAAAGGACAGCGAGUAGAUGUCUGGUUCUACUCGCUGGCAGCAGAUGGGGCGCCCCAAGCCUCUGAUGCUGGUCGAGCUGCCACCUGAACCUCACCCUUGCUUUUUGCGUACCUAUUGUUUCCUCGGCAGGCUUGCCUGCCAGUAGGACCUAUUUCAAUCCUUUGUAGUUGCAGUCAGCGUCAGAAAUAACAUAAUUGUUACAACUUUCAACAACGGAUCUCUUGGUUCUG
rnacentral:misc_RNA from 1 species